rnacentral:rRNA from 1 species
GUAAUACGGAGGGUGCAAGCGUUAAUCGGAAUUACUGGGCGUAAACCGCACGCAGGCGGUUUGUUAAGUCAGAUGUGAAAUCCCCGGGCUCAACCUGGGAACUGCAUUUGAAACUGGCAAGCUAGAGUCUCGUAGAGGGGGGUAGAAUUCCAGGUGUAGCGGUGAAAUGCGUAGAGAUCUGGAGGAAUACCGGUGGCGAAGGCGGCCCCCUGGACGAAGACUGACGCUCAGGUGCGAAAGCGUGGGGAGCAAACAGGAUUAGAUACCCUGGUAGUCCACGCUGUAAACGAUGUCGAUUUGGAGGUUGUGCCCUUGAGGCGUGGCUUCCGGAGCUAACGCGUUAAAUCGACCGCCUGGGGAGUACGGCCGCAAGGUUAAAACUCAAAUGAAUUGACGGGGGCCCGCACAAGCGGUGGAACAUGUGGUUUAAUUCGAUGCAACGCGAAGAACCUUACCUACUCUUGACAUCCAGAGAACUUUCCAGAGAUGGAUUGGUGCCUUCGGGAACUCUGAGACAGGUGCUGCAUGGCUGUCGUCAGCUCGUGUUGUGAAAUGUUGGGUUAAGU